CCAGUCUUUUCCGUAUAUUGGGACUGUAAUGUGUAGAUACAGGAUUCCUGAUUCUCCUUCCGUGCUUAUGGAAGUCAGGACAAAUUGAUUUUGAGCUCCAUGGGAUUACUUGCUGCUCUGCACAUAAUGGAUGUACGCAGAGUGAUUCUGGGAGAGUUCUGUAGUAGAUGAGUGAAGAAAUUGCUGGUGCAGGACUGCUGAAUUCCAGAGAGUGUUAUUUGUUGCUAUACUGAUAUUGCAGCAAU
rnacentral:lncRNA from 1 species